UUUCCAGUGUGUUUAAACCAAUCAGAAUUCAGACUGCCGCUGCAAGUCCCGCCCUUCUUCCCCGUGUCUGUAGCAUUGUGUGUGAGCGGGAGAGAUCCGCCAUGAGGAGGAAACGGUUAAGCUGUGCAGCGUGAGAGUCUGUGUUAAGACGGUUAUAGUACUGGAUACGAACCCGAAACAAACCCUUUCCCAGAUAGAAUGGCUGUUUAUCAUCCGACUUCUAAGCUGGAAGUUGUGAAGUGAGUAAAAAAGAUUGAACUUCAGUUUUUCUGCCGAGCAUUGUUAGCUAACUCGUUGGCCUCGUUAGCUCUUAUUUGCUACUGGUUCCUCGAAGUUCAUCUCGUUCUCCCUUCAGCUGAAGUGCCCCACGGUCCGAACUGAGAGCCACCAUGUUGUUGUCCCAAACGUGUUGUUGUCCCAAACGUGUCGCAUUGAGAUCGGUCAGGUUUUUUUUCUAUGGUGGAUUGUUCCUGAGGUGGAUUCCUCCUGUGACUUUGAUGGCGAGCUUUCCCACCUGGAUUUAGAAAGAACUGGAUUCCUUCUUUUCCAUUUGGAGUCCUGCUGCACCCUGUGGUGUGGUAGGCCUGUAUCACUCAGAUCUUCACACACAGUUGUUUAUGAGUGAGACCACUGACUGACAUUUUUAAUUCUCAUUGUUUAAUCCUGUAAUUUCUGACCUUACAUUUUGGACCAGUUUUUAUUUGGAACUUUAUAACAAACUGCUGUGUAGGAAAUUCUCCUCAUGUGAACGGUGUUGAGUUGAACCUAAUUGGAACUGAAAUUGAUUAAUCUGUUGCCUCUUACUAUUUAGAAUUCAGAUUACCAGGCUGCACCCAACAGUUCGUAAAACUGAGAACUAGCGCUUGGCCAAGUAUUAUUAUUAUUUCUUGUAUUUUAUUGUGUGUAAUUUUAUUUUCAUAAUUGUGUGUCUUGUACAACUGUUUGUCAAUUAUAUGGUUUAUGUCGCUAAAGCCAGUUGUUCUUUAAAUUAAUUUAACUGCCUUUGUGUGUGAUUUAAACACCCCACCAUGCUCCAAUAGCCGAACCUAUUGGCCCAUUCAUCUAAUAUAUAUAAAAUACCCUUCUCAUCUGUGACCAUGAGAGCUGAGCAGAUGCAUCUCAUCUAAUGCAGUCUUUGACUGACCCCAGUCACUGUGUCAGAAUAACAUUACACCUCUCCUUCCUGUUGGCCUUUCCACACA